rnacentral:rRNA from 1 species
AUUGAACGCUGGCGGCAUGCUUUACACAUGCAAGUCGAACGGCAGCGCGGGCUUCGGCCUGGCGGCGAGUGGCGAACGGGUGAGUAAUGCAUCGGAACGUGCCCAGUAGUGGGGGAUAGCCCGGCGAAAGCCGGAUUAAUACCGCAUACGACCUGAGGGUGAAAGCGGGGGACCGAAAGGCCUCGCGCUAUUGGAGCGGCCGAUGUCGGAUUAGCUAGUUGGUGGGGUAAAGGCUUACCAAGGCGACGAUCCGUAGCUGGUCUGAGAGGACGACCAGCCACAGUGAGACUGAGACACGGCCCAGACUCCUACGGGAGGCAGCAGUGGGGAAUUUUGGACAAAGGGGGCAACCCUGAUCCAGCCAUGCCGCGUGCGGGAAGAAGGCCUUCGGGUUGUAAACCGCUUUUGUUCGGGAAGAAAUCCUCUGGGCUAAUACCCCGGGGGGAUGACGGUACCGGAAGAAUAAGCACCGGCUAACUACGUG